GUUAAAUGCCAGAUGAAGAUGAAUCAUAAGCAUGAUUUAUCUGACAAAUAUAUAACUAUUAUAUUAUUUACAGAAACAUGGAGGUACUCAGCCAACUACUGGUUCUAAUUUCCUUGUAAGGAUGUUAUAGCUAAAGCUUCAAAAAUGGAAUAUACAUCCUAGGAAAUGAUAUCUGCACCCUAAAUCAUAAAUGCAUAACCAUGUGUAUGGCAGU
rnacentral:misc_RNA from 1 species